rnacentral:RNase_P_RNA from 1 species
GGAGCGGCUUGUCGCUCGUGCCUUGAGCAUGAGAGGAAAGUCCGGGCAACACAGAGCAUCGCAUUUCUUAACGGGAAGCUGGGGGUGACCUCAGGGUUAAGGUGACAGAAAACAACCGCCACCUCACGGUGGUAAGGGUGAAAAGGCGGGGUAAGAGCCCACCGGGCGCCACGGCGACAUCAAGGUCAAGUAUACCGUCAGGGCUGCUCGUCUAUUGGCGGGGGGUAGACUGCUAUACUGGCGUGGCAACACGUCCAGACAGAUAAAUGACAAGCGGCGUUACCCAUGGGUAACGGCCACAUAACCCGGCUUAUAACUCCACUGC